UUGAACGCUGGCGGCAUGCUUUACACAUGCAAGUCGAACGGCAGCGGGGGCUUCGGCCUGCCGGCGAGUGGCGAACGGGUGAGUAAUAUAUCGGAACAUAUCCUGUCGUGGGGGAUAACUAAUCGAAAGGUUAGCUAAUACCGCAUACGACCUGAGGGAGAAAGCGGGGGCUCGCAAGACCUCGCGCGAUUGGAGUGGCCGAUAUCUGAUUAGCUAGAUGGUGAGGUAAAGGCUCACCAUGGCGACGAUCAGUAGCUGGUCUGAGAGGAUGAUCAGCCACACUGGGACUGAGACACGGCCCAGACUCCUACGGGAGGCAGCAGUGGGGAAUUUUGGACAAUGGGCGAAAGCCUGAUCCAGCCAUUCCGCGUGAGUGAAGAAGGCCUUCGGGUUGUAAAGCUCUUUCAGCAGGAACGAAACGGUGGUCCUUAAUACGGGCUACUAAUGACGGUACCUGAAGAAGAAGCACCGGCUAACUACGU
rnacentral:rRNA from 1 species